rnacentral:rRNA from 1 species
UGCAAGUCGAGCGGACAGAUGGGAGCUUGCUCCCUGAUGUUAGCGGCGGACGGGUGAGUAACACGUGGGUAACCUGCCUGUAAGACUGGGAUAACUCCGGGAAACCGGGGCUAAUACCGGAUGCUUGUUUGAACCGCAUGGUUCAAACAUAAAAGGUGGCUUCGGCUACCACUUACAGAUGGACCCGCGGCGCAUUAGCUAGUUGGUGAGGUAAUGGCUCACCAAGGCAACGAUGCGUAGCCGACCUGAGAGGGUGAUCGGCCACACUGGGACUGAGACACGGCCCAGACUCCUACGGGAGGCAGCAGUAGGGAAUCUUCCGCAAUGGACGAAAGUCUGACGGAGCAACGCCGCGUGAGUGAUGAAGGUUUUCGGAUCGUAAAGCUCUGUUGUUAGGGAAGAACAAGUACCGUUCGAAUAGGGCGGUACCUUGACGGUACCUAACCAGAAAGCCACGGCUAACUACGUGCCAGCAGCCGCGGUAAUACGUAGGUGGCAAGCGUUGUCCGGAAUUAUUGGGCGUAAAGGGCUCGCAGGCGGUUCCUUAAGUCUGAUGUGAAAGCCCCCGGCUCAACCGGGGAGGGUCAUUGGAAACUGGGGAACUUGAGUGCAGAAGAGGAGAGUGGAAUUCCACGUGUAGCGGUGAAAUGCGUAGAGAUGUGGAGGAACACCAGUGGCGAAGGCGACUCUCUGGUCUGG